AGCAGCCGCGGUAAUUCCAGCUCCAAUAGCGUAUAUUAAGGUUGCUGCGGUUUAAAAGCUCGUAGUUGAAUUUCGGGAUUGAUGCAUCGGUCGUGCCUUAAGGGGUAUGAACUGGUGUAGCCAAUUUCUUACCUUCUGGUGAAUUGUGAUGUCCUCCUUAAUUGGGUGUUUCAAUGAACUAGGACUUUUUACUUUGAAAAAAUUAGAGUGUUUAAAGCAGGCAUUAUUUGCUUGAAUACAUUAGCAUGGAAUAAUAAAAUAGGACAAUGAUUCUAUUUUUGUUGGUUUCUAGGAUCACUGUAAUGAUUAAUAGGGAUAGUUGGGGGCAUUAGUAUUCAAUUGUCAGAGGUGAAAUUCUUGGAUUAAUUGAAGACUAACUACUGCGAAAGCAUUUGCCAAGGAUGUUUUC
rnacentral:rRNA from 1 species